CGAGAUGCCACCCCGAGAUGAGUGUGGGCUCGAUUAUUCCCCUUACUGGAACCGUUUUCUUCAACUGCCAUCAUUCAAUUGAGGAACCGUAUACAAGCAAGGAAUGUGAAGCCAUGCCGUCGACCUGUAAUAGUAUUUGUUUGCGCGCUCUACUGUGCUUGGGCAUCAGACUUUCACGAGGGUUUCAUGUUCUCUGGAGGGCCCGUAACAGGGCGGUGGUGAGACGUGCGAGGUUCCUUCCAGUCCUGGCAGCUGUAGCAUCCCUUCGUGGUGAGGAAGGCUCGCUAUAUCCCGCGAAGAUGAAGCACUGGAACUGAAACCUCCUCACCCGCCAGAGAGCUGGGAGAUCAACACGACAUUACUUGUCAAGGAAAAGCGAAGAUAUGCCGUCAAUGAGGAUUAAUGAGGCGAUUAUAUUCGAAACGCAGUUAAAUGCUAGCGUCCCGUGGAGUACAAAGCACAAUUCACGGAGUAGACUAGCGUGCGCAAUAAAUUACAUAGCGGUCCAUUAGAGCCGCCCUAUAUAUUACCAGUCGACGGACUGAAAGGGGUCAGACAGAAUUGCCAUGAGAUGAACUAGUACUCUGAUUGCGAUAACCAGUUGCAUUUAUAGUGGAAGCGUUAGGUUAAUAAAGGCAAAAAGCAAAGACAAAAAAAGGAAGUUCAAGGUCGUAGAUUUCCUCAAACCGUUUUGAGGUCUCUCAAGGGGUAUACUACAUCAUCACCUCUCCCAGUUCAUUUCAAAUUACUUUGAAGGCUUUGUUCAUUUCGCAGUGGGUGUUAUAACUCCAGCUUUCCAGUCAGUUACCGAGCAUCCAAAUCACCAUUGGCGCAUUUUCUUAUUAAUGUAAGUAGCAAGAUGUCACUUAGUGUCGCGAAAUGCUGUAUACACUCAGCAAAUAGGCUGCGAAAUCAAACAACGCCUAGUCAACCUCUCCCCAGUAUUUUUCUUCACCAACAUCAACGUCAUCAAAUAAAGCCUACG